AAGUCGUAACAAGGUUUCCGUAGGUGAACCUGCGGAAGGAUCAUUAGUGAUAUAGAAAAUCCAUUUUCUAGUCUCUAUACACCCUUUGUCAACUCACACCUUUGUUGCUUCCACUGGACAGAUGGAUACGCCUUGCUGCGAGUCCAUCCUCUGGCAUCCUCACAGAUGACAGGGAGCGCCAGUGGAAAGAAUACAAUUUAAACUUUGUCUUUAGAAAACUUGUCUGACAAUUAUAUUUUUAAUAAAAUAAAACUUUCAACAACGGAUCUCUAGGCUCUU
rnacentral:misc_RNA from 1 species